rnacentral:rRNA from 1 species
CCUACGGGAGGCUGCAGUGAGGAAUAUUGGUCAAUGGACGAGAGUCUGAACCAGCCAAGUCGCGUGAAGGAUGACUGCCCUAUGGGUUGUAAACUUCUUUUAUAUGGGAAUAAAAUGUUCCACGUGUGGGAUUUUGUAUGUACCAUAUGAAUAAGGAUCGGCUAACUCCGUGCCAGCAGCCGCGGUAAUACGGAGGAUCCGAGCGUUAUCCGGAUUUAUUGGGUUUAAAGGGAGCGUAGGUGGAUUGUUAAGUCAGUUGUGAAAGUUUGGGGCUCAACCGUAAAAUUGCAGUUGAAACUGGCAGUCUUGAGUACAGUAGAGGUGGGCGGAAUUCGUGGUGUAGCGGUGAAAUGCUUAGAUAUCACGAAGAACUCCGAUUGCGAAGGCAGUUCACUGGACUGCAACUGACACUGAGGCUCGAAAGUGUGGGUAUCAAACAGGAUUAGAUACACUAGUAGUC